rnacentral:tRNA from 1 species
GCGGGUGUGGUUCAAUGGCAGAACGCGACCUUCCCAAGGUUGAGGUGCGGGUUCGAUUCCCGCCGCCCGCUCCA